rnacentral:rRNA from 1 species
AGCGAACGCUGGCGGCAGGCCUAACACAUGCAAGUCGAACGAACCUUUCGGGGUUAGUGGCGGACGGGUGAGUAACACGUGGGAACGUGCCUUUAGGUUCGGAAUAACUCAGGGAAACUUGUGCUAAUACCGAAUGUGCCCUUCGGGGGAAAGAUUUAUCGCCUUUAGAGCGGCCCGCGUCUGAUUAGCUAGUUGGUUGAGGUAAUGGCUCACCAAGGCGACGAUCAGUAGCUGGUCUGAGAGGAUGAUCAGCCACAUUGGGACUGAGACACGGCCCAAACUCCUACGGGAAGCAGCAGUGGGGGAUCUUGCGCAAUGGGCGGAAGGCUGACGCAGCCAUGCCGCGUGAAUGGUGAAGGGCUUAGGAUUGUAAAAUUCUUUCACCGGGGACGAUAAUGACGGUACCCGGAGAAGAAGCCCCGGCUAACUUCGUG